rnacentral:rRNA from 1 species
UGGGGAAUUUUGGACAAUGGGUGAAACCCUGAUCCAGCCAUCCCGCGUGUGCGAUGAAGGCCUUCGGGUUGUAAAGCACUUUUUGCAGGAAAGAAACGUCAUGGGUUAAUACCCCGUGAAACUGACGGUACCUGCAGAAUAAGCACCGGCUAACUACGUGCCAGCAGCCGCGGUAAUACGUAGGGUGCAAGCGUUAAUCGGAAUUACUGGGCGUAAAGCGUGCGCAGGCGGUUCGGAAAGAAAGAUGUGAAAUCCCAGAGCUCAACUUUGGAACUGCAUUUUUAACUACCGGGCUAGAGUGUGUCAGAGGGAGGUGGAAUUCCGCGUGUAGCAGUGAAAUGCGUAGAUAUGCGGAGGAACACCGAUGGCGAAGGCAGCCUCCUGGGAUAACACUGACGCUGAUGCACGAAAGCGUGGGGAGCAAACAGG